AUUGAACGCUGGCGGCAGGCCUAACACAUGCAAGUCGAACGAGAGGCGGACGGGGGAGUAAUGUCUGGGGAACUGCCCGAUGUGGGGGGGUAACUCUUGGAAACGGUAGCUAAUACCGCAUACCCUCGGAUGUGCCCAGAUGUGAUUAGCUUGUAGGUGUGGUAACGGCGCACCAAGGCGACGAUCCCUAGCUGGUCUGAGAGGAUGACCAGCCACACUGGAACUGAGACACGGUCCAGACUCCUACGGGAGGCAGCAGUGGGGAAUAUUGCACAAUGGGCGCAAGCCUGAUGCAGCCAUGCCGCGUGUAUGAAGAAGGCCUUCGGGUUGUAAAGUACUUUCAGCGGGGAGGCGUUACCCGCAGAAGAAGCACCGGCUAACUCCGUGCCAGCAGCCGCGGUAAUUC
rnacentral:rRNA from 1 species